GAUAAACGCUAGCGGUGCGCCUAACACAUGCAAGUCGAGCGAUCGAACUGGACUGAUCGCCCUUCGGGGUGAGAGGACCAGUGACGGAGCGGCGGACUGGUGAGUAACGCGUAGCCAACCUACCCCCUUGACGGAGAUAACUACCUGAAAGGGUAGCUAAUACCCGAUAUUGCUCGAGAUCGAAAGAUCUUGAGCCAAAGGCGGUCUUGCCGUCGCAAGAGGAGGGGGCUGCGUCCUAUUAGCUUGUUGGUGGGGUAAUGGCCCACCAAGGCGAUGAUGGGUAGCUGGUCUGAGAGGAUGGCCAGCCACAUUGGGACUGGGAUACGGCCCAGACUUCUACGGGAGGCAGCAGUGGGGAAUCUUUCGCAAUGGGCGAAAGCCUGACGGAGCGACACCGCGUGGGGGAUGAAGGCUUUCGGGUUGUAAACCUCUUUUCUGGGGGAAGAAUAAGGGCGGGAGGAAAUGCCCGUCCGAUGACGGUACCCCAGGAAUAAGCAUCGGCUAACUUCGUGCCAGCAGCCGCGGUAAGACGAAGGAUGCAAGCGUUAUCCGGAAUUACUGGGCGUAAAGGGCGCCUAGGCGGCUGAGUAAGUCACCUGUGAAAGCCCUCAGCUCAACUGAGGAAUGUCGAGUGAAACUGCUCAGCUUGGGUGCAGGAGAGGAGGGUGGAACUCACAGAGUAGCGGUGGAAUGCGUAGAUACUGUGAGGUACCCCGAUGGCGAAGGCAACCCUCUGGCUGCUACAGACGCUGAAGCGCGAAAGCGUGGGGAGCAAAGGGGAUUAGAUACCCCCGUAGUCCACGCCGCAAACGAUGUUCACUGGGUGUCGGUCGCUAAUACAGAUCGGUGCCGGAGCUAACGCGUUAAGUGAACCGCCUGGGGAGUACGGCCGCAAGGCUAAAACUCAAGAGAAUUGACGGGGCCCCGCACAAGCGGUGGAGCACGUGGUUUAAUUCGAUGAUAAGCGAAGAACCUCACCUGGGUUUGACAUGCUAGUGGUAGGAACCGGAAACGGGGACGACCCUUGCCUUCGGGUAAGGGAGCUAGUACAGGUGAUGCAUGGCUGUCGUCAGUUCGUGUCGUGGGACGUUGGGUUAAGUCCCGAAACGAGCGCAACCCCUGUCGUCAGUUGCCAGCGGGUAAAGCCGGGGACUCUGACGAGACUGCCGGUGAAUAGCCGGAGGAAGGAGGGGAUGACGUCAAGUCAUCAUGUCCCUUAUGCCCAGGGCGACACACAUGCUACAAUGGGGGGUACAAAGGGCUGCAAUGCCGUAAGGCUGAGCCAAUCCCAAAAAACCUUCCUCAGUUCGGAUUGAGGUCUGUAACUCGACCUCAUGAAGCCGGAAUCGCUAGUAAUCGCAGGUCAGCCACACUGCGGUGAAUAUGUACUCGGGGCUUGUACACACCGCCCGUCACACCAACCGAGUGGGGGGUACUUGAAGUCGCUCUUUAUAGAGCGCCGAGGGUA
rnacentral:rRNA from 1 species